rnacentral:rRNA from 1 species
AUUGAACGCUGGCGGCAGGCCUAACACAUGCAAGUCGAGCGGAUGAAGGGAGCUUGCUCCUGGAUUCAGCGGCGGACGGGUGAGUAAUGCCUAGGAUUCUGCCUGGUUGUGGUGGAUAACGUCCGGUAACGGGCGCUAAUACCGCAUACGUCCUGUGGUAGAAAGUGGGGGUUCUUCGGACCUCUCGCUUUCUGAUGAGCCUAUGUCGGAUUAGCUAGUUGGUGGGGUAAAGGCCUACCAAGCCGACGAUCCGUAACUGGUCUGAGAGGAUGAUCAGUCACACUGGAAGUGAGACACGGUCCAGACGCCUACGGGAGGGAGCAGUGGGGAAUAUUGGACAAUGGGCGAAAGCAUGAUCCAGCAAUGCCGCGUGUGUGAAGAAGGUCUUCGGAUUGUAAAGAACUUUAAGUUGGGAGGAAGGGAAGUAAGUUAAUACCUUGCUGUUGUGACGGUACCAACAGAAUAAGCACCGGCUAACUUCGUG